CCUUAUUAUUUAUGUAAUAAAACCUACAAUUGACUUUCCUGAGACUUGUAGCAUUCCUUAGACAGGGGAUACCUGCCUUCUGAAACACUGCUCAGAGAAACUGGAGCAAAUAUGCUAUUUUUGAGAUUUAGUCGCCUAUGGGAAGAAAAUCAAAAUUUUAAAUUAGGAAACACUCAGUGGAUUCUGUAAGUUUCUUCAUGGAUAUGCAGAUGAUGAAACUGAAGGGGAGAGAGUGAUUUUCUUAAAAUUGGUAUUCUGAAAUUUAAUGCAGUACUUAUGAAGUCUUUUAUACACUGCCAUUGGAAUGAGUCACUGGACUGUAUUCACCUAAAGUUCAGGUCUGGUCAACAUUUUAGACCCAAAGGUCAACAAACUAUGUAGAUUUGACCCAGAUAACAGAUGCAGUCUGGUACCCAUUUGUGUCAUUUUUAUGUGGCCAAACCUAACUUUGUGGUUUCAUCAUGACAGGCUUUAGUUUGCAGUAGAGAUCUUGUGGCUCAGGAGCCUGAAGAGUUUACUACUCAGCUCUGUGAAUCUUCUUUAAGAUGAUCUUUGAGAAUACCUUUCCAUGUCGUCCUUAAAGCAAGCUAUUGUCAUCCAUUGCUAGCAUUCAGAUUCUCAAGACAAGUAUGUCAUGAGAAAUGAACCUGCAAAGACUACCUGCUUUCUUACCACACUCAUUUCUCCUCACCACUUGUGCCUGCUGAAGUCUCUCCUCAAUCCUCUGCCAAGUGACUACUUGUUGUCUGGAAACUUCUGAGGACACUGGGGAAUCUGGUGGUAACAUGGGCAAGGCACAAGAAGUUAAGGACAGUUUCUGACCUCAAAUCAGAUUUUACCAUUUUAGGGAUGUAACCUUGAAUGGAUGGUGGUGUUUUAAUUUCUUCCGCUGAACAACUUCAGAAGAUGCAGAGUGAGUUUUGAUGGGAAAGAGACUCUUCAUGGGCUACUCUAGAACAAACAAUGGAAACGGAUCACAGGAAAGAAUGAAGGACAUGGUUCAUGUCUGAUUCAGGUGAUUUCUACAAACAGUUCCAGGAGCUUUCUCCAUUCUCCCAGUUGAGAUUGGCAUUAUGCUUAGAGAAGAAAAAGCGUCUCAAAAGAAAACUAGUCACUCUUGAGGUAGAAUUGCCUCACCUGAAGAGGGAGGAGGUAUUUUUCCUUUUCUCUGAGUCAAGAACUCAUGAUCACCAUCACCCAACCCUGCUCACACACACCCUGACCACCACGGGUCUCUAGGCACUUUAAAUUCUAUGAUUUAUAUGAACUCUUACAGGGACGCAGCUGUUCUCCUGGGCAUAUUCACAACACGUUUUUCCACCCACUCACCUCCCAAGGUGGGUUCUUAAGCAAGUAGCAAAAUGAGGUGUGGGCACUGACACAAAGACCAAUGAGGCAUUUUAAGAGAAGUUAAAUUCAGGAAGCUUUAGGGAAACAAACAAAAAUAAAUUUUAAGAAAUCUGUUUGCAUGGAAAGAUAAAACAAUAAUAGAAUGAGAGAGAGAGAGAGAGAGAGA
rnacentral:lncRNA from 1 species